UACGUAGGGUGCAAGCGUUAAUCGGAAUUACUGGGCGUAAAGCGUGCGCAGGCGGUUAUGCGAGACAGAUGGGAAAUCCCCGGGCUCAACCUGGGAACUGCAUUUGUGACUGCAUAGCUAGAGUGCGGCAGAGGGAGAUGGAAUUCCGCGUGUAGCAGUGAAAUGCGUAGAUAUGCGGAGGAACACCGAUGGCGAAGGCAAUCUCCUGGGCCUGCACUGACGCUCAUGCACGAAAGCGUGGGGAGCAAACAGG
rnacentral:rRNA from 1 species